AACGAACGCUGGCGGCAUGCCUAACACAUGCAAGUCGAACGAUUCCUUCCGGCGGAGUUGCUCACGGGUGCGUCACGCAUUGGAAUCUCCCUUUCGGGUCUGAAUCACUGACGGCAACUUGUCCUAAUACCGGAUAACGUCGCAAAACCAAAGAUUUAUCACCGAAAGAUGACCCCGCGUUGGAUUAGCUAGUUGGUGAGGUAAAGGCUCACCAAGGCUACGAUCCUUAGCUGGUCUGAGAGGAUGAUCAGCCACACUGGGACUGAGACACGGCCCAGACUCCUACGGGAGGCAGCAGUGGGGAAUAUUGGACAAUGGGCGAAAGCCUGAGGCAGCAAGGCCGCGUGAGUGAUGAAGGACUGAGGGUCGUAAAGCUCUUUUACACGGGAAGAUAAUGACGGUACCGGGAGAAUAAGCCCCGGCUAACUACGUG
rnacentral:rRNA from 1 species